UUUUUUAAUUCAUUUAUUCACACAGAUCGCAAUUUGUAACUUUAAUAUUGUUAAACGCACUUUGUUUCGUUUCGUCUUUUAUUUCGCGUCGAGUAGUAUAAAUAAGACAUUCUCUACAAAUUCCAAUCGUAUCAAUUAGUGCGAUAAGUUAUUAGAGUUACGUCGAACAUUGCAGUUGAUUGUUGCAUUGAGAUUAUUUGUUUCACUUCUUUUUUCAUACUUCUUCUUCUUACCAACAUUAAUUUCGCGCAUAAAGCAAUUUUACUAUACGCAUUUUCGCAAUAGCAUAAUACAGGACGAAAAUUACAGGAGAAACAAAAGGUGCGAUCUUGCGUGUCGUAAAGUUCCGAGAAAUCGUUGGAUUCUUUUCCGCGCUGCUCGGCACGAUUCCACUUCCCUUUAUACGGCGAAUAAUUGUCAGUUGUAUAUAUCCUAAUCCUAAUGUGGCUGAGCGCGCGGUUUUCACCGAGUUCAUCGUAUAAGGAAAGGAAAGUUUCUAGGCGUCAAUUGGUCGAUCCGAGUUCGUAACAAGCUUGUCGUUGUCUUUAUAGUAAAGUUUGAAGGAUAAUACGUAAGAUCAAUGCGCGUUAUAUAACGUUUAUAUAUGUAUAUGUAUACAUAUGGUUAGAUAUAUAAACGCGAAGUUACGUCUAUUGACGACGACGACGAUUCACUGUACAUCGUCGUAUGUACACAUAAUUUAAAAGAGAUAUAAUCUCGGCAAAGAAUUCGAUUCACAAGUCUUCGUCGAUCCUCUCAAGAUCAUCGACCUCUUUCCGUCUUCGAGUUAACCUUGAUCUCCCCUUCCUUUACUUUCCGUCGAAUCGGAAAUCAACUCGUUUCUCUCGAAUCAUCGAAAUCCUUUUGGUCCUCCAGUGAAAUUAAAAUAAAAGAAAAAAAAAAAAGACAAUGAAAGAAGAAGAAGAAAAGAAAAAAAAAAAGGAAAAAAAGAUCGACUCUAAAAGAGAACGUCAAGAAAGUUUCACUUUCCUUUUCCUUCGUCCUCGCUAACGUUUCUCAUCUGUUGGAUUUGAUCUUUCACCGGAAGACAGGAACAGCGAAAGUUUGCUGGACCAUAUCAACGAUCCAUCCAUUCGAAAUUAAUAAGAUGAAACGAAGUAAAACGAAAUGAUCGAUUUCUUUUUAAUAUAUAUACAGUUAAUAUAUACAUAGUCAGCCUUAGCAAAAAUAACGAAACAACAAUGAUACUGGUUUAUGAUAAAAAAAAAAAACUAUAUACAUAUUUAUAUAAAACUCCGUAGCAUUCUAGCGAGAAACACUAGCGCGAGUCGAUGAUCACGAACGGAGUGAAUCGACCUUUAAGCUCGAUUCUCUCUAAGUAUUAUUAUUGUAAAAGCGCUCAGGGAUGGGCGUUAAAAAGAAAAUGCGUGAGGCAAGGUUUAAUUACCGAUUUAUUCCCAGCCACGAUUUCGAUCUAUCGAUCUAUCGAUCGAAUCUUGUUUCUUUGAAACAUAUUUCAUCGUCAUGGUAGACUGAGCUUGGAAAGUUAAACUGGAGAUGCUCUCUUGGAAAAAGAAUACAAAGAAGAAGAAGAAAAAGGAAAAGAAGAAGAAGAAGAAGAAGAAGAAGAAGAAGAAGAAGAAGCAGAAGAAGAAGUUGUGGCGAGAACGGCAAACGAUCGGCACGGCGGUCCUCUUAUCGGUGUGCGAUCCUAACGCGUCGUGGAUAUAAUUUCCAUUCCGUGGCAUCUAAAGAGAUAACCGACUGGGUUCCACUCGAGAUUCCGCUAAUACUGCUUGCGCGAACGCUCAGUGUGAGGUUAGACUUCGUGAUCUACUCGUUCGAUAUACCAAUCUCGAAGCGACCUUUUAUAGUAUUGUUUCGGAACUCGCUCGAAAUGCGAGAAGAGAAACAAUAGCCCGUUAUACACGGGUGUUACAGUUCCGCCAAUCGUUCGAAAGAUCUCUGUCAGAAAAACGUGGAUUAUACUGGCGUGAAAUAGAAGAGGUAGGAGAAAAAGAAAAUGAUGACGAUGAUGAAAAAGAAGAAGGAAAAGAAAAAGAAGUGUUGGAGGAGGAAGAGAGAACGUGGCUCUCAGAAUUGUCGAGCGAAUGGUGCGGCAGGUGUUCGAGUUUCGGACAACAAAAGAGGAAGUUGCUGUUCGAUUGCACGUGCAGUCGACUGUUCGUUACUGAAUAAAUUUCUAUUUUUUGUUUUUAAUUUUUCGAGCUAACGAUAAGCUACGGAUGGUAUUUAUCUAUCAAAAAUUGGAUAUAUAUAUAUGUAUGUAUACUAUGCGAGAGAUAUAUAUUUACGAGAGAUAAAUACUGGAGAUAAAUCAUUUCUAAAUUA